rnacentral:rRNA from 1 species
GGAAUCAGGGUUCGAUUCCGGAGAGGGAGCCUGAGAAACGGCUACCACAUCCAAGGAUGGCAGCAGGCGCGCAAAUUACCCAAUCCAGACAUUGGGAGGUAGUGACGAGAAAUACUGGGGGCGCUCCUAGUGAGCGCCAUCCGGAAUGAACGUAACACAAAAAAUUCGAUGAGGAUCUACUGGAGGGCAAGUCUGGUGCCAGCAGCCGCGGUAAUUCCAGCUCCAGUAGUGUAUAUCAACAUUGUUGUGCUUAAAACGCUCGUAGUUGGAUUACAGAGCCUCAAACAGGCCGGUCGACUAGUUUGGUUGGUCUGGUCUCGCAAAGCCAAGACUGGUGGAGCGAGGUGGGGCUCUUUUGUCGCGCUGGCUCUGGCCGGAGUCUUUGUUGGCUCCAGCCAAUGGCCGGCGGAGUGUGCCUUGAAUAAAGCAUAGUGCUCAAAGCAGGCGAACGCUCGUAUGUAAUAGCAUGGAACGAAUAAAUUGACCGGGACCGGGUUGGUCGAGGCGAGAGCCGCGGCGGCCCGGGACUAGGCUCGAUCAGUGUUGGUUGGAGCUGCGGUCUCAACAGUUAACAGGGACACCUGAGGGCACUAGUACUUUGUGGCGAGAGGUGAAAUUCUUAGACCCACAAAAGACUGACUACUGCGAAAGCAUUUGCCAAGAGUGUUUUCAUUAAUCAAGAACGAAGGUCAGAGGAUCGAAGACGAUCAGAUACCGUCCUAGUUUUGACAGCAAACUAUGCCAGCAUAGGGUUGGAGCGGUCGCUGCUUAACAGGCAGUCGAAUCACUGCAGGCCUUAAGGGAAACCUAGCUUUCGGGCUGCUGGGAGAAUAUCGCUGCAAGGCUGAAAUUUAAAGAAAUUGACGGAGAGGCACCACCAGGAGUGGAGCCUGCGGCUUAAUUUGACUCAACACGGGGAAACUCACCAGGUCCAGACAUUGGUAGGAUUGACAGACUGGUAGAUCUUUCAUGAUUCGGUGAAUGGUGGUGCAUGGCCGUUCUUAGUUGGUGGAGUGAUCUGUCAGGUCUAUUCCGGUAACGAGCGAGACCACGGCCUUUAGUUACUGGUCUGCGGAGCUUCGCGCCCUGCAUGUACCUAGCUAGAGGGACUAUUGGUGUUUUAAACCAGGGGAAGCGUGGCAAUAACAGGUCUGUGAUGCCCUUCGAUGUCCUGGGCUGCACGCGCGCUACAAUGGCAGCAGUAGAAAGUGUCGACUGGCCAGAGAUGGCUGGUAAAACUGUAAAUGGCUGUCGUGAUUGGGAUUGAGCCUUGUAAUUAUUGCUCAUGAAAGAGGAAUUCCUCGUAAGCACGAGUCAUCAGCUUGUGUUGAAUACGUCUCUGCCUCUUGUACACACCGCCCGUCGCUACUACCGAUUGAAUUGCUUCUAAAGCUGGCUGGACCGGACCUGUACCUUGUGUGCAGGCUGGGA